GACGAACGCUGGCGGCGUGCUUAACACAUGCAAGUCGAACGGAAAGGCCCUGCUUUUGUGGGGUGCUCGAGUGGCGAACGGGUGAGUAACACGUGAGUAACCUGCCCUUGACUUUGGGAUAACUUCAGGAAACUGGGGCUAAUACCGGAUAGGAGCUCCUGCUGCAUGGUGGGGGUUGGAAAGUUUCGGCGGUUGGGGAUGGACUCGCGGCUUAUCAGCUUGUUGGUGGGGUAGUGGCUUACCAAGGCUUUGACGGGUAGCCGGCCUGAGAGGGUGACCGGCCACAUUGGGACUGAGAGACGGCCCAGACUCCUACGGGGGGCAGCAGGGGGGAAUAUUGCACAAUGGGCGGGAGCCUGAUGCAGCAACGCCGCGUUCGGGAUGACGGCCUUCGGGUUGUAAACCGCUUUCGCCUGUGACGAAGCGUGAGUGACGGUAAUGGGUAAAGAAGCACCGGCUAACUACGUG
rnacentral:rRNA from 1 species